AGAGCGAACGCUGGCGGCAGGCCUAACACAUGCAAGUCGAGCGCCCCGCAAGGGGAGCGGCAGACGGGAGAGUAACACGUGGGAACGUACCCUUCAGUUCGGAACAACCCAGGGAAACUUGGGCUAAUACCGGAUACGUCCGUAAGGAGAAAGAUUUAUCGCCGAAGGAUCGGCCCGCGUCGGAUUAGCUAGUUGGUGAGGUAACGGCCCACCAAGGCGACGAUCCGUAGCUGGUCUGAGAGGAUGAUCAGCCACACUGGGACUGAGACACGGCCCAGACUCCUACGGGAGGCAGCAGUGGGGAAUAUUGGACAAUGGGCGCAAGCCUGAUCCAGCCAUGCCGCGUGAGUGAAGAAGGCCUUAGGGUUGUAAAGCUCUUUCAGCGGGAAGAUAAUGACGGUACCCGCAGAAGAAGCCCCGGCUAACUUCGUGCCAGCAGCCGC
rnacentral:rRNA from 1 species